AGAUGGCUGUGCAUGUGGUCUUGAAACCUGACUCUUUAUGGGCGAAAGUGAAACCUGACUCUUUUUUUUUUUACUAGUUUUUGUUCUAUCAUUGCAUCUCCAGAGUCUUUCAGAAUAUUUCGUCUAAAUCAUUACAAUUUUUUUUCAUAAUCUAUAAAAUUUGGAUUUAUAGCUGUACGUUGUCUAUUUUGUGUUAAUGCUUUUUGGUGGAUAGCUAUAUUCUUCCUUAAUUCCUGGGAUUUUCUUCAUUUACUUGCUGUUAUCACUAGAAUCCGAGGAUAAAGUAUGGGCUUGGAUGUCUCACAUCUAAUUCUAUGUAAUUCUCUUUUUCUUGGAGUUAACCUUUUCUUUUGUUGCUUUUUAUUGACCGAAAUUGGUCCAUUGUAUUGUUAUUGCUUGAAGGUCUUUCCUCUGCUCUUUUGGUGUGCUUUUGAGGUUUAAUUAUUUUGGGUGGGAAAAAUUGCGUUACAAGCUCAUGAUUAAUAGAUAACAAGAUUGUUCUCUUGUAUUUCCCUCCUUCCCACCAUUUGUGUUACUCGAUCUAUUGUUCUGCUUCUUUGUUUAGCUGACUGAGCUCUUUUUGCUUAUUUUUCACUGAAAUUGUGCCUCUCGUUAUUAUCUUGUUUAAAGCAUUACUGAAUGUUUUGAACUCUGAUUUGAUAACUCACUGGUGAUAUGGAACAUUGAAUGGAGAUUUGUAGGAAAUUUUUGGCCCAACACAUACUCGUAUGUUGACAGGGCUUUACACAUAUGGUGUCUUUUUAUCCUUAUGUUUGCACCAAUAAUGUGGCUUACAUGUUCUUCAUGUGAUCUAAGAACUAGAUCAGUUUCAUAUCAUCUCCAACAUGGCAAUCAUGAUUGUCAUGCAGAACAGCUUUACAAGCUGAUUCAUUACAUUCAAUGCUACUGUGCCUUUUCCUUGUCUUCUUUUUUUCAAGGAAAUUGCUUCUUAGUACUAUGACUUUAUCUAUAAUCAUAUGUUUACAUGUGUUCUCUUAUGUUUAUUGAUCACUUCAAUUGGACUCUAUCAUCUAGGUACCCAUCAUACUGUCGACCAAAUAUAUGGCCUUCCAUUUCUUUGCCUGAGCUUGAACAAGAUCCAAGAUUCUUCACGCUUAUUCUCUGAUUCAAAUUCUAGCAUCCAUCACUCAAGUUCUUGACCCAAAGAUUCAUCAACACCUAGCUUCUUUUUUUCAGUCAAAGUUUGUUCUGUUAUGACAGUAUGCGGUUUUCUUGUCAAAGUUUGUUCUACUUGAUGGAUGUUUCCUCCUUCAAAUGUUUAAUGAGGAUCUGCAAGCGGAGGAGCUCAGAUCGCUUUUCGACGAUAAUGUGUGCCUCAAAUGUCAUAUUCUUGUAGACCUGAUGUUGCUAGAAAAUCAACUUCCGUAUUUCAUUGUCCAGCAUCUCCUCGAAACACUGGGGAUGCCAGAGUGGGAUAGCUCCCGCCUUCUGAAUGCUGCCAUCGAUGUGUUCGAUGACUUUCUGCCAUCGUUCUGGAGAGGUCCACAGCCAGAGCUGCCCGCCGAAGGCUUCGAUGUGGAUCAUUUACUCCACUUGAUCCACCGAUGGAUCCGGCGAUUCCCAAAAUCAGAGGUGACCAACACAGCAAGCUACAGUAAACGAUCAAGGACUACUUAUUCUGCUUUAUCCCUAAUAAUCGACAAGACUGGGGAUUGGCUCUCCAAGGUGU